rnacentral:rRNA from 1 species
UACGAGGGGGGCAAGCGUUGUUCGGAUUCAUUGGGCGUAAAGGGUGCGUAGGCGGCGCGGUAAGUCGGGUGUGAAAUCUUGGAGCUUAACUCCGAAACUGCAUUCGAUACUGCCGUGCUUGAGGACUGGAGAGGAGACUGGAAUUUACGGUGUAGCGGUGAAAUGCGUAGAUAUCGUAAGGAAGACCAGUGGCGAAGGCGGGUCUCUGGACAGUUCCUGACGCUGAGGCACGAAGGCCAGGGGAGCAAACGGG